UACUCACACUAGUGAGAGGUUCUCACGAGUAGUAUUUAGUGGCGGACGGGUGAGUAACACGUUGGAACCUGCCCCGAAGUGGGGAAUAACUGCUCGAAAGAGUAGCUAAUACCCCAUAGUAUCCGGUUUAUCCGGAUUAAAGAUAUAUCGCUUCGGGAGGGGCCUGCGUCUGAUUAGCUAGUUGGUGAGGUAAAAGCUCACCAAGGCGACGAUCAGUAGCUGGUUCGAGAGGAUGACCAGCCACACUGGGACUGAGAUACGGCCCAGACUCCUACGGGAGGCAGCAGUGUGGAAUCUUCCACAAUGGCGCAAGCCUGAUGGAGCAAUACCGCGUGCAGGAAGACGCUUUUCGGAGUGUAAACUGCUUUUGUCGUCGAAGAUUAUGACUGUAGACGAAGAAUAAGGACCGGCUAACUACGUG
rnacentral:rRNA from 1 species